rnacentral:lncRNA from 1 species
AUGGGGAACAUUCCAGAGGCCUCAGCCUCCAAAGCACAGAGCCCCGGCCCCUCACCCCCCACCCCGAGGCAGCUGCUCUCCGGAGGCUGGGAAGGCAGGGAGCCACAGGUACCCUUUUGCGGGACAGCAAGUCCUUGCUCCAGAAGGCGAUGUGGCAGCUGGGCCCAAGUUGUGUGCAGAGCAGGGACACGGUCAGCCCUGGAUGUUUCAUUGUCAGACUUUGUGCUUGGUUUUAAGAAUGGAGUCGUGGGAUUUUUUUCUUUCUUUUUGAUGUACCUUUAACUGUUGCCUGUUCAUGUUCCCGAGCUGGCCACUAGCAGCACCGUGUCCAGGUGUCCAGAUUCCUGACACCGGAUCGAGGUGUCCUGGUCCCCAUCAUUGUGCUUGGUGUUUUCCUGUCUCUGCCCCCAAAAGCAAAGAUUAAUUUAAGGGCAAAGAUGCAGUCACUGUAAUCUAAUCUGUCGUUGUUUUUACCUGCGUUUUCUUUUUCAGUGCAGAAAUUAAAAGUAUAAAGCACCGUGAUUUGGAGUUUUUUUGCGUGUGUUGGAAUCACUGGUAAAUGUUGGCUGAGAACAAUCCCUCCCCCUUGCACUUGUGAAAACACUUUGAGCGCUUUAAGAGAUUAGAUUGAGAAAUAAUUAAAUACCUUUUCUCUUCAUUGUGGAGCACUGGCUUUGUGUGGUGGGGCAUGGGGGUGGGGGACCGUCCUGGCUUCGGGUCUCACCAGCCUGCAGCUCGGGAGGGCACGGUCACGUGUGCAGCCAGCCUCG